UUUACUUUACAACUACUCUUGCCUACACAAGGCUUGAGGAAACAUCCUUACUCUGAAACAGGGGCAAACUGAGUUUCAGAGGAAAUAGAAGCAAAUGAGUAGGAAGAAGUUCUGCAGAAAACCUCCCCCUAUUUUCUGUGAAAAUUCUAGGUCUUUAAAAAGAAAAAGCACAGUAGUUUGAUCACAAUAAGUACUAUUUAUCUUAGUGAAGUCAACAGGUGUUCUUCAUUACUUAUUUAUAGCCUGAAAUUACACUUCACAUGACUUAUUGAGCAACAUUAUAUAAAACAGCUUCAAAGAAUUUUUAUUGCUCAAAACUUAUUUGUAACUUAAAGCCAUGAAGCACAGAACACACCCCACUGCCGCUGAGAAAAUUAAAUUUGCAGCAUCUGUUCAGAUCACCAAAUUCCCUGCAUAACCAGAAUUGGGCAGCCACCCAUUCCUGCAUCUUCCAGCCUCCGACUGGCUGGGCUCCUGCUGCAGAGUGAGCACACAUGCGAUCCAAACACCACGUUCCACAGGAAUGAAUGUCCAGAUGUGCUGGACAUGUUUCCUGGCGGGGAUUUACACAACAUCCGCACCGACGAACUGCGCCAUGGCGAUGCUUUUGGUGCUACGACUUCCCUGGCACCAGCCCCGCUCCUGGGUCUGGCUUCAGUGGUGCUGAACUUUCCUUUCUCCUCGGGAGACUCAGGAGAGCGAGCCAGCAGGGAUGCAGCCAAAAGAGAGAAACUUUCCUUGGGCAGCAGUUCUGGCAUUUCGGUUCCCAGCUCCCCCGAACCGAGGCUGGCUAGGAAAACACACCUCGGGAGCACUGCGCAAAGCGCUACGAAAUCCGGGCCAGGGUAAACAAGUGCUCGAAGGGAAGGAAAAAAAAGAAAUAAAGAAAAAGAAAACAACAAAAACACGCAUCGCCUUACUA